UAACAUGGCCGAGUAUUAGGUGGUGGAUUGUAAACCCAUAGACGGGGGUUCAAAUCCUCCUCUUAU
rnacentral:tRNA from 1 species